UAGAUAUUUAUUGCCGGCACUUCAGGCUCGGUCGAAAAUGAGUGUAAAACUAAAGUAAAAAAGUAUGAAUUUUAAUAGGUACGCCGCGGACGGCUCCAUCGCUUGAGCAGCGCUGCCCGCCAGCGCUCUCCGAUUCCGCCGCGUCAGCUCCACGUGCAGACGUUCUUGGCGGAUGUUUAUGCAACGGACGAAAUAUGAUGCCAGUUCAACUCGAUGCCCGUCCACUCCAGCGCUGUAUCAGCAUUCUAACAAAGUAAGAACAUUGCCGUUGGUGGGGAGUGUUAACUACUCCCCCUCUACAAGAGUGGUCGCCCUCGAACCUCUCAAGUUCUCAAUCAUUGCGUUGACCAGGACCAACUUCCUUUUCCUCUUGAAUA
rnacentral:lncRNA from 1 species